GAUACUGAGCCAUGUCCUCGGUCAAAUUUUGUAUGCUGUUCCAUGAUUGUAGAUUCUUAAGAUCUUUGUCGCACAGAUUACCGACUGUAACGUGUAACACAUUUCUUAGAACAAUACCGUAUGUAGUAAUACUAUCAAGUUACUGGACGGAUGUAUUUACGUUAUUUGGAUGAAGAUAGCAACAUAGACAACAAUUACGUGUAUAUGAUGACAAUUUGCAAUUGUGAAAGGAAAAAAUAUCAAGUCGGAAAUACCAAUUGCAUUAUUGUAAAUAAAGGAUAAAGCAGGAUUUAAAAAAAAUGGUGUGUACGAGGCUUAAGGAUAAAUUACAAUAUUGUAACUAGACAUGUGUAAUACAGAGGAUAUACUUUGUCAA